rnacentral:rRNA from 1 species
AACGAACGCUGGCGGCAGGCCUACCACAUGCAAGUCGAGCGCCCUUUCGGGGGAGCGGCGGACGGGUGAGUAACGCGUGGGAAUAUGCCCUUCUCUACGGAAUAGCCUCGGGAAACUGAGAGUAAUACCGUAUACGCCCUGAGGGGGAAAGAUUUAUCGGGGAAGGAUUAGCCCGCGUUGGAUUAGGUAGUUGGUGGGGUAAUGGCCUACCAAGCCGACGAUCCAUAGCUGGUUUGAGAGGAUGAUCAGCCACACUGGGACUGAGACACGGCCCAGACUCCUACGGGAGGCAGCAGUGGGGAAUCUUAGACAAUGGGGGCAACCCUGAUCUAGCCAUGCCGCGUGAGUGAUGAAGGCCUUAGGGUUGUAAAGCUCUUUCAGCUGGGAAGAUAAUGACGGUACCAGCAGAAGAAGCCCCGGCUAACUCCGUGCCAGCAGCCGCCGUAA